rnacentral:tRNA from 1 species
GCCCCUGUAGCUCAGAGGAUAGAGCAGCACACUCCUAAGGUGAAGGUCACAGGUUCAACUCCUGUCGGGGGCA